rnacentral:lncRNA from 1 species
GGUGAUGGAUCUACUAGCCAUGGAGGAAGUGGAGGACAGUAUGGUACUAGUUAUGAGACACAGCCGGAGGGAGGUUUUCGAUACACCGGUGAGUCUCAGUUUACACAUGCUACACAAGAUACGGACCACGGUAGGCCGUCUGAUAUAGACCGGUCAGAUACCAUUGCAUAUCGAAGAAGAGCUCCUCGAGGUCGUUCAAGAGGCCAGGAUGCAGCUGCAGAUGACCUUCCAUAUGGAGUCGAAUCCAUUGAUGUAUCAAGUUCCGAGUCUUUCUAUUAUCCACGGCCUCAGCCAGCCUAUGGAUAUGGUGCAUCAGAGUCAUCUUCCGGUGGCUACUAUCCUGCGCAGCCCGGAGGAUCUUACGGAUCGGAUUUUGGUGUCGGCAUAUUCGAAUGGACCCCUUAUCAAGACACCUCUCAGAGCCAGAGCUUCAGCGAGAGAUCCGAGAGUUCUUAUGACCCGACGCGCAUUCCUCGAGGAUUGAGCAUACAAGACUACAAUGCCGCUUGGUUAGAGGGAUGGAUUGAUCUGCCUCCAUAUUAUGCUGAUGAUCCAGAUAUUGACGAGAAGCAUCGCCACUCGACCCGAUUUUAGAAAUCCGAGAGUGCUUUAAAUGUAUGUAAUUGAUUGUAUCUUAAUUUAAAAAUAUUUUAUGUUCUUCAUCUCAUUAUUUGAAUUAUUUGGAAGUAAUAAGUUGCAUCAUCUAGUUUUAACCUUAAACCUAAACAUAAAAACAUCAAAAAAAAUAUCCAAAAGUGAAAGAACUCCAAAAAAAAAAGACGAUGGGGUCGAAACCAGGCCGAAUGUGCCCUAUCGGUACGGUAUCGAUUCGGCUCAGUUCGGCUCGGUUCGGCACCGGUACCGUACCGUUACCGGA